ACCUGUUGUUUAGUCAAAAUUGGGGCUAAAACCAUGCAGCCUGAACUCGGCAUAAGCAAGGUUGAGUCUGGUCAGUACAUGGAUGGGAGACCACAUGGGAAAACUAGGUUACAGUUGGUA
rnacentral:rRNA from 1 species